UACGUAGGCAGCAAGCGUUGUUCGGAAUUACUGGGCGUAAAGAGUGUGUAGGCGGUGCUCUAAGUCUGUUGUGAAAUCUCCCGGCUUAACUGGGAGGGUGCGGCGGAGACUGGAGUGCUAGAGUGUGGGAGAGGUAAGCGGAAUUCCUGGUGUAGCGGUGAAAUGCGUAGAUAUGCGGAGGAACACCGAUGGCGAAGGCAAUCCCCUGGACCUGUACUGACGCUCAUGCACGAAAGCGUGGGGAGCAAACAGG
rnacentral:rRNA from 1 species